UUGACCUCAAAUCAGGUAGGACUACCCGCUGAACUUAAGCAUAUCAAUAAGCGGAGGAAAAGAAACUAACAAGGAUUCCCCUAGUAACUGCGAGUGAAGCGGGAUAAGCUCAAAUUUGAAAUCUGGCAGUCUUUUUUUUCUUCUUUGGCUGUCCGAGUUGUAAUCUAGAGAAGUGCUACCUGCACUGGACCAUGUAUAAGUCUCCUGGAAUGGAGCCUCACAGAGGGUGAGAAUCCCGUCUUUGACAUGGACCGCCAGUGUGUUGUGGUGUGCUCUCAAAGAGUCGAGUUGUUUGGGAAUGCAGCUCUAAAUGGGUGGUAAACUCCAUCUAAAGCUAAAUAUUGGCGAGAGACCGAUAGCGAACAAGUACCGUGAGGGAAAGAUGAAAAGGACUUUGGAAAGAGAGUUAAACAGUAUGUGAAAUUGUUGAAAGGGAAACGCUUGAAGUCAGUUAUGUUGGCUAGGGAUCAACCUAGCUAUUUUUGCUGGGUGAAUUUCCUAGUUUGACAGGCCAACAUCAGUCUUGACUGCUGGAAAAGAGCAGAGGGAAUGUGGCACCUUUGGGUGUGUUAUAGCCUUUUGUCAUAUGUGGCAGUUGGGACUGAGGGAUGCAGCGUGCCGCGAGGCUGGGUUUCGACCACGUUCACGCUUAGGAUGUUGGCUUUUAAUGGCUUCAAUCGACCCGUCUUGAAACACGGACCAAGGAGUCUAACAUGCCUGCGAGUGUUUGGGUGGAAAACCCUUGUGCACAAUGAAAGUGAAAGUUGAGAUCCCUGUCAUGGGGAGCAUCGACGCCCGGACUGGAGCUUUUAGCAAUGGAUCCGCGGUAGAGCAUGCAUGUUGGGACCCGAAAGAUGGUGAACUAUGCCUGAAUAGGGCAAAGCCAGAGGAAACUCUGGUGGAGGCUCGUAGCGAUUCUGACGUGCAAAUCGAUCGUCAAAUUUGGGUAUAGGGGCGAAAGACUAAUCG
rnacentral:rRNA from 1 species